rnacentral:lncRNA from 10 species
GGCGAGAGCAACAGUUUACUUAAUACGGUAAUGGACUAGUGCAGUUUUUGUAGACAGUGGGCUUCUGAUACAAAGUCUUGUUUAAACACAGACACACACACACACAAACACACACACACACCCUAAAGUGUGGGUUUCCUGUUCUAAUGAUUUGUUGAAUAUUAUUAUAUUAUUAUUAUUAUUAUUAUUAUUAUUGUUAUUGUUAUUAGUAAUGUUUGGUUCUGGAUUCUACUUGUUACUGAGUUUAAAUUACUUGACGGUUCAGGUUACUUUGCAACACUUUCAAACGAUGCAAUGUAACUGGCUAGCUUAUAUAUAUAUAUAUAUAUAUAUAUAUAUAUAUUUUUUUUUUUUUUUACUUAUUUUUUUCUGAUAUUCUUACACCAGAUAUGUACGAAAAUGAU